AACGAACGCUGGCGGCAGGCUUAACACAUGCAAGUCGAACGAGAUCUUCGGAUCUAGUGGCAGACGGGUGUGGAACACGUGGGAACAUCCCUUUCAGUUCGGAAUAACGUUGGAAAACUAACGAUAAUACCGGAUUCGUCCUUCGGGAGAAAGAUUUAUCGCUGAAAGAUUGGCCCGCGUCUCAUUAGCUAGUUGGUGAGGUAAUGGCUCACCAAGGCUACUAUCAGUAGCUGAUCUGAGAGGAUGAUCAGCCACAUUGGGACUGAGACACGGCCCAAACUCCUACGGGAGGCAGCAGUGGGGAAUAUUGGACAAUGGGCGCAAGCCUGAUCCAGCCAUGCCGCGUGAGUGAUGACGGCCUUCGGGUUGUAAAGCUCUUUUGUCCGGGAAGAUAAUGACUGUACCGGAAGAAUAAGCCCCGGCAAACUUCGUGCCAGCAGCCGCCGCCG
rnacentral:rRNA from 1 species